rnacentral:rRNA from 1 species
UGGGGAAUAUUGCGCAAUGGGCGAAAGCCUGACGCAGCGACGCCGCGUGAGGGAUGAAGGCCUUCGGGUCGUAAACCUCUGUCAGGGGGGAAGAACCGUAUGUGGUCGAACAGGCCAUGUACCUGACGGUACCCCCAAAGGAAGCACCGGCUAACUCCGUGCCAGCAGCCGCGGUAAUACGGAGGGUGCGAGCGUUAAUCGGAAUCACUGGGCGUAAAGCGCACGUAGGCGGCUUUUCAAGUCGGGGGUGAAAUCCCACAGCUCAACUGUGGAACUGCCUUCGAAACUGGAAGGCUUGAGUACCGGAGAGAGUGGCGGAAUUCCAGGUGUAGGAGUGAAAUCCGUAGAUAUCUGGAGGAACACCGGUGGCGAAGGCGGCCACCUGGACGGUAACUGACGCUGAGGUGCGAAAGCGUGGGUAGCAAACA